CGACGAGUGGCGGACGGGUGAGUAACGCGUGGGAAUCUGCCUUUUAGUUGGGGACAACCCGGUGAAAACCAGGCUAAUACCGAAUGUGGUCUACGGACUAAAGCAGGGGAUCUUCGGACCUUGCGCUAAAAGAUGAGCCCGCGUUAGAUUAGCUAGUUGGUGGGGUAAUGGCCUACCAAGGCGACGAUCUAUAGCUGGUCUGAGAGGACGAUCAGCCACACUGGGACUGAGACACGGUCCAG
rnacentral:rRNA from 1 species